rnacentral:rRNA from 1 species
UACGGAGGGUGCGAGCGUUGUCCGGAAUCACUGGGCGUAAAGGGCGCGUAGGUGGCCCGUGGAAGUCUGCGGUGAAAGUCCGGCGCUCAACGCCGGAUCGGCCGUGGAUACUCUCGGGCUUGAGCUUACUAGAGGCAGAUGGAAUUCCGGGUGUAGCGGUGGAAUGCGUAGAGAUCCGGAAGAACACCGGUGGCGAAGGCGGUCUGCUGGGGUAAUGCUGACACUGAUGCGCGACAGCGUGGGGAGCAAACAGG